UUCAAACAGAAAAUGAUUUCUAUAUGUGACCCGCCCGAAUCGAAUCCAAUCGAAUCGAAUAAUUGUGUGUUAGGCACAUUUGAGAAGUGAAAACACCAAAAAAAAGCGCGGGAAGAGAGCAAUGGAGGAUUCAGGUGAACGAAGAAAUCGAGAAGAAUAUUCAGAUCACCAGAGACAUCGAAUCGGAGAUCGUCAAGUGCGGAGAAAUCGAGACCGCUUUAAUUGCUCGAGAGCUCGAAUUGAUGAGAACGGCGUACAUGUUACAGCUCGAAAUCCACAGCCUGAAGAUUGUCACAGAUGAUUCGACAAGCUCAGUGAAAGUAUUGGAAAAUGAGAUAUGCUGUCUCAGAAUGAAGAAAAACGAGAUAAAGAGAAGAAUGAACAGCAAGCGGUAAUACUCUGAAAGUGUCUGCCAGGAAAACAAGUAGAAGUUGGCGUACAUCAGAAAUUAGGUUCUUUGUUUGCUUUACUGUGUUUUUUUUUUAACUAAUCUGGAACUUUCAAAAUAGUCGCAUAUCCUGAUUUUGUAUAGCUAUGUUGCCAAAAACAAGUCCAAACUUCUUUUUACUUUUGCCCCCUUAUACCUUUUUCUGUAGGAAAUCAUUUUUCUGAUAGCAGGUAUCUGAUUCGCUGUUUCGAUUUCUAUGGGUUGUCAAGUUGUGUGAAAUGGCUAUUUGAAUCCUAUGUAGAAUUCCGUUGUCUGUCAAAGUGCAAUUUUGUUUGCUUGCUGCAGUUCUAAUGGUCUAUCUUUCUAACACCAAGUUGCGGACUGCCCUGUCAAGACUUUUUCUGUUUGUGUACAGGGAACAAUUCAUGGUUGUAUGCCUAGAUUUUCAGGAAGAAAUCAGCAAGCGAGAAAAUGAUAGAGCUUUGGUAUUGCUGGAGGAGAAACAAGUGCUAGAAAAUGAAAUUGAUGAUUUGAAUAAGAAGAAUAACGCUCUGAAAAACUCAAUGAUGGCAUUCAUGGAAGAUAUAGUUGAAGAUCUUCAGGGUUCUAUAUCUGCUUUACAAGUUGAGAUUCAGGCUAGAAACUUUGAGAAUGACAAAAUGCUCAAGGAUAUUGAGGAGUUAAAAGCAACUCUGCUAUCAGCAAUUUCUUUUGGGUCUUGAUCUAUGGUAAUUUUCUUCAUGAUAUGUGGAGACAGUUGAUCUUUCAUUGACAUUAUUGGUUUGGCUCCAUUUCUUCACCUCUGCCCUAUGUCUUUCCUCUACUUCAUCAGUAAAAAGCUGCAAAAAGUGAAUGUGGAGGAGCUGACUUUUACAUGCUUGAAUCUUGUCCUCCUGAUCAUGAACCUGUUGUAUGAGGGCACAAAUUUUAUGGUUGCACGUACAAGCCCCAUGCUGAAACAGUGCAUGCUGAGAGGAAUUCUAGUUUUGUGAAAUUUGGUGCUCAGCUCAACUUUUAGUUAGCAGCCAAGGUAAACUGACACAAUUCCUUUUUCUGGCAAGAGGGAAAAAGAAAAGACGCAACAGCUCCGCUUGUAUUGUGUUUUGUCUCCUUGGAACUGAGCAUUUUAAUUUGCCUUUCAUCCAUUAAAAAUUGUUCACUCAUCAACCAUGGCUUGAAGUUUGAUAAGAGGAGGAAAUGGUUAGGUUCGUAGGUGAAAUCAACGGGGUGUUGUAUAAGCACAUAAUGAAGGAAGAUUGUCUGCCAUAUUAAAGACAGGAACCAUGUAUUGUCUUGCAAUAAUCACGUGCUUUUCGAUCCUUUGGGGCUGUGCGCUUUUGGUAUUCCCGGAUAAUUGCAUGUAGGGAAGUGCAAACUCAGCAUGGGACCUGUACUUCCAUCAUGUAGCUGGUAAAAAAUGAAAAUUUAGCACUGCCCUGCAGAAUGUUUAAGCUUCGUAACUGGUAAGUGAUUGGAUCAGUAAUUAAGCAUUUGAGGUGCCAAGCUCAAUUUAUGCAUCAGCAUACCGUUGUAAGUACCUUUCCCAGAGUAAAAAAUUGCAAAAAAUAAAAUUCAAAAGGAAAAUUGUAGGUGGGCUUUUGAGGGCAAGUCACUUGUUCAAUUGUUUCAGAGUAACUCUUGCCGCUUUAUUUACCAAGUUGUUUCAUAAAAUGUUCAGUACAUGUGUAUGUAAAUUUGGUCAGGCAGAUUGAAUCUAUGUAUUAUUAGUCUAUACAGGAUCAGCUUUGCGACUUUCAAUCAAUGAAGAAGGGGGAAGAACUUGAAAAAAAAAAUGUGCGUCCAGUAAACGAGUGGAUGUUGGGCCCAAAGUGAAUUUAUCCUCUAUAAGAGGAGGAUUGUGAUCUUCCUUGAUGUUCAAUUGUGGAUUGACGCCCUCCAUCUUUUCUUCUUUAGAAUUUCAAUUAUAAAGUGCAGCAUUGCUCUAUUAUAUUUAUAUAUAGUGCCUAGAGGAAGAACUUUGCGGGUGAAAAGUAUAUGAAGAUGAACAGUGCUUCAGUCAAUGGAAGUUCUUGUAAGAAAAGAUGUCGAUGUAAAGUUGUAGGAGAGUAUCUCAAAGAGCAAAGAAGUAGGCUUAUCAUAAUGGGAAGAUGUAUUGUGUUGCUUCUCUUCUGGCAGGAUUAGUUGGAGUGGCUGCUUGCAACUCCGCUCCUCCAUUUCUGGUGCUAUUUUGAAUCUUUCUUGAUUUUUAUUCAUCUGACAAUCCAACAAGAAUUGAUUUAUUUAUUUAUUUUUAGUGUUCACUA